ensembl:lncRNA LNCATV lncRNA negative regulator of antiviral signaling
GCAGGAAACAUAGCCUGGCUCUGUGAAGGAAUACUGCUGUGACCGCAAAACUGUUUCUGUAGAAUUUUCUCCGGUGUGGUCAUCCUGCCUUCAGGAGGAAAAUAGAGCAAAAAGGUAGAACUUACUUCCACACCCAAGUUUCUCCUGAAAGCACUGUGCCUGUUUUGUUUGCUACACAUCUUGGUGCUCCAGCAGAUUACCAGUGAAACAUGCCGACUCUCACCAAACCACCCCAUGUUGCCAAAUCUUCUCUCUUGGCCCUGAUGAUGUGCAACUUAAAACCAAGCUUCAGGAAAAAGAGGACCUUAGAACUGAAGGAGCAAGAUUCCAACAUCACACUGUUUUUGUUAGCUGUGUGUGUGUGUUUCCUGUGUAUCCAAAAGACAGAGGAGAUGAAAAAGCAAAAGAAAAGAAACGAGGAAUCAGAUUGGAAAGAAGGUUUCUCCAGGACGUCACCUGUAUGAGGUACACAGUGUGAUGACACACUCUGUGCUUUUCCUACUUGUGUCCACGUGAGUGUCUGGAGCUGCCCUUCAAGGAGAGCAAUAGAUGAAUGAUUCUGCCUUCCCGCUGAGAGGGAUGUGGGUCCUGCGGAUGGUCGGGGUGAAGCUUCCUCUCCUUUCUGCUGACAGCACUUCCUCAUUAAAUGCAGAGAUCUGCAAAAAGGGAAAAUAAAAACACAAGAAGAAAAA